ensembl:lncRNA
AUGCUCACAGGUAGGUACCAGGAUUAACACUUGUUCUGUUUAGUCUCUCAAUGGUGUCCAACUCUUUGAGAUCUCAUGGAUUGUAGCCCGCCCGGCUCCUCUGUCCAUGGAAUUUCCCAGCCAGUAAUACUGAGAGCCACAAUUGCUAACUGUGGAUGGCCAAGCCAAAUGUCUAUGAGAAAGCCCCCUUCUUGGCAUUCCCCGGAGGCUGUGUGACAAAUCAAGGUUACCUUGAAAGGAAUACAGGCUGGAGGAGGGCUGGAUCUAUCCAUCUAUCAAGAUGUGAGUCACCACCGUGAUGUCAUCUGAAUCUCAACUUGAUUCCAUUAAUUUUGACUGUGUAAGCACAUAAACUACCAGAAGCAAAUGGAUCAUGUCCGGAUGCAGAGGCACCUGCACUUGGGCACAGACACCCGCCUGGAUGCCCUCAUGCACUGACACACACACGCACACGCAUGCGCACACAUG